rnacentral:lncRNA from 1 species
CCCGUCCUGCCCCCAACCACCUGAAACUGGUCCUGCCAGAGAGUCCCCACACACUCCCUGCGAGGUUGUAAAUACCCCCGGGGAUCCAUGACUUCAUUAGACCAUGACGCACAUUAUCCAGUCUCUUGUUCAGUUCUGAAAGACUAUAUGACUGUCUGGAGAUUAAACUCCUGAAAAUGUUCCCUGGGAAAGAAGCAGAAGCCAGAAAGCGGGGUUGUAAGACUAAAAUGGGAGAAAAAAAAAUGGUAACGACUUAAAAAGCCCUAAAGACAUCUCCCCGCAGAGAACAUUCCGGAGUCAAUCCGACUCUUCAGAAAAAGCUACUGACAGGUAUUGUUGACUGAGCUGCUGUCUCUAAUGCCGUCUCUUGAGUUGUUUACUGGACAGUCUUGUCUGGGUUUCAGGCACAGAACAGCGAAAGCUGUCGAUACUUCUCGAGUACGUGUGGAUUCCUUACAAGGCACUCCCGACUAAGGCUGAAGGCUUUAAUUAAAUGAGCAAUUAGCUUGGGGCAUGGAUGUUUAUACAAAAAGAAAAUAAGUUAAUUAAUUUGGAAAUUAUUUGCCACCGUGAACAUGAGCCUACCGUGGGCUUUACACGGUGCCAGAGGUACGUGCGCUGCGGUUCAAGAGCAGAGAAAUGUCAGGGUCGGGAGAGGCCCCGCAGGCUGGCAGCCCAUGCUUCAGCAUUCCUGAUUACACGACCCGCCUGCGCGCCAGCAGCGUCUCCGCCUCCCAGGCUUCACCCCCGCCGACACCUGACGUCCAGCCUGCAGGCUGGCCUUCUCCACCGGAGGCCUUCCCUGCUGCACCUGCAGCCACCCGCUGUCUCGCUGCGUCAGGUGCUGCCACUGCGCCCAAGGAGGGAAGCGCGACAAAACCGUGUGGGUUUUUUCACCAAAGGUGCUCUGCAGAGAGAUGUUCCUCCGGUCCAGGGCAGGCAAGCAUAUCUGAGAGUGAAAACAAAUUCGAGAUGCCGAAGGAGACAGACAUGGGAGUAAACAGAUCUGCUGGGAGAGUGGCCAUCCUGCAAGAGGGCAGGCGGGCUGGCCAAGUCAAGGGCGGACGUCCAGGGAGAGAGCGCGUGGCGGCGUUCCCCAGCUCCGGCUCUGGCACCAACGGCACAGCCAUGCGGCGAAGGUCGUCCUGAAGGAGUGGGCACAGGUCGCCGGGCCCUCGGGACUGGGCAGGAGUUCCGGGUCCACGAAUAAGGACACAAUAACUUGACAGGAACCGGGGAAAAGCCCAGUCCAGAUCUGAAGACAACAAGAACAAAAAAAAAAAAAAAAAAAAACCACUGGAAAUUCUUCACAAUAACUUACUUAUUUAUUUCUUUGUCUAUAAAACAGAAAUAAUCAAUGAAGUAAAAAAAUUAAAAUGGAUUAAGUGCUUUUUAGCACAGGACGUCAUUCCCCCGAAGACUGGAGGCCAGUGGUUCUGUUUCCUACAAAGACCAUAAUAUGAGGUCUUGGUACAGGAGGCUCUUGGUUAGAUGCAUGUUGCACAGCGUUGGAACCUGUUACUGAUGCUUGAUGUACAAGCUGCGGAAAAACAACUUCUCCCGGGUCUCUGAUGUUUAAGUGGAACUUGACGGAAGCCUUGGGGCGCUAAAUAAUUUCAGAUUCUCUCUUUGAUGGAGAGUCAGGUGUCAGGAUACACUCACUCCACAGCUGUACUGCACAGUACAAUAACCCUCGAACCUUCUUCUUCUUCCUCAAACCCACCCAGUGACCCAGCAGCAUCCCGCCCCGACCUGUCACCGCAGCGUGGCUGGUCCCCACUUGCCUAGGUCACACCCCAGGAUCCCUGCUACUGAGUUCAGGCUGUUUUGAUGCAAGUCAAAAGGAGUUUUAUUAACUAACCUCAGAGCUGGUCAAACAUACUAUUUUCAGGCAGUUUGGGAAACAAAACGGUGUGAUGGCUGGUGGUUAUAGGAGCCAAGGGACGCUGUCUCCUGCAAAGCCCCUUCCCUCAAACCUUGUACUCUGGGAGAAAGUUGCUUUAAUUGUAAAUACAAAAUGGCUUCACAAAGUGUAUACGUCUGUUGGAUGAUUCCAGCAGGAAAAUUAAAACUUUAUAACGUAUGCUAUUUUAAAAAGUUCAUACUUUAAAAAUCACAGCAAACUUAGAUUCUAUUACACUCUGGGACCCCAGGUGAGCGUGGGUGAAGGUCAAAUCCCUUUACUGUGGGCAGAGAUCUUGCUAUCCUUUGCCAAAGUUUAUUUUUCUCUCGUUUCCUAAAACGUAGACAGUAGAUUCGGCAAUUUAUGAACGGCAUUUUAGGCUACACUUAACAUGGUCUUUGACAUCUAGUCUUACAAGGAGACAGAUUAGUGUCCACCAAAUUCUGGCCCUUGAAAAGAAAAUGAGAGUAGCAGUUGUGUCUUGAGUGAACGAAGCUCGGGUUAGCUUAAAAGAAGCAUGAGGGAGCUUUCUGGAAUAAUAGUGGUAAAGUUCUAUGCCUUGAUAAAGAUUGGUAACACAGAUGUAUAACUCUAGCUAAUGAUAUGUACAUUGAAGUAUUUAGGGGGAAACACAAUAAAAUUUAAGUUGAAUUGGGGCGCCUGAGUGGC